rnacentral:rRNA from 1 species
UACGUAGGUGGCAAGCGUUGUCCGGAUUUAUUGGGUUUAAAGGGUGCGUAGGCGGUCUAUUAAGUCAGUGCUGAAAUAUCCCGGCUUAACCGGGAGGGUGGCAUUGAUACUGAUGGACUUGAGUGCAGUCGAGGUAGGCGGAAUUGACGGUGUAGCGGUGAAAUGCUUAGAUAUUGUCAAGAACACCGAUAGUGAAGACAGCUUACUAGACUGUAACUGACGCUGAGGCACGAAAGUGUGGGGAUCAAACAGG